AUUGAACGCUGGCGGCAGGCCUAACACAUGCAAGUCGAACGAGUGGCGGACGGUUUAGUAAUGUCUGGGAAACUUCCUGAUUGAGGGGGAUAACUACUGGAACCGGUAGCUAAUACCGCAUACCAUCGGAUGUGCCCAGAUGGGAUUAGCUAGUAGGUGGGGUAAAGGCUCACCUAGGCGACGAUCCCUAGCUGGUAUGAGAGGAUGACCAGCCACACUGGAACUGAGAGACGGGCCAGACGCGUACGGGAGGCAGCAGUGGGGAAUAUUGCACAAUGGGCGCAAGCCUGAUGCAGCCAUGCCGCGUGUAUGAAGAAGGCCUUCGGGUUGUAAAGUACUUUCAGCGGGGAGGCGUUAACCGAAGAAGAAGCACCGGCUAACUCCGUGCCAGCAGCCGAGGUAAUUC
rnacentral:rRNA from 1 species